GGAAAGAAAGAGCUUGAAAGAAGGGAGGAACUGAAAACUAUGAGGUUGAAGACUCCCACGAUUUCAAGUUUGGUUGAGAAGCUGUGACCUCAGUGAAGGAACUGCCACAAAUUGGAGGAGACCAAGAAGAUAUAACGAAAUGCAGAGCUUGGUCUUAACUGGAUCCAAC